rnacentral:rRNA from 1 species
UACAGAGGUCCCAAGCGUUGUUCGGAUUCAUUGGGCGUAAAGGGUGCGUAGGCGGCGCGGUAAGUCGGGUGUGAAAUCUCGGAGCUUAACUCCGAAACUGCAUUCGAUACUGCCGUGCUUGAGGACUGGAGAGGAGACUGGAAUUUACGGUGUAGCGGUGAAAUGCGUAGAUAUCGUAAGGAAGACCAGUGGCGAAGGUGGGUCUCUGGACAGUUCCUGACGCUGAGGCACGAAGGCCAGGGGAGCAAACGGG